CAAGAAUAGAAUUGAGCUGCAGUGUGAAUGUAGCCUAAGUCUCCUGGCUGCCAUGGGAAUGCCUUGGGAUUCCUUUGGAAGAACUGUAUGAAGUGCCUGGGGAGAGGGAAGUUUGGGUUUCCCUUCUGAAGCUGCUGCCUCCACGACCUGACCCCGGAUAACGGAAGACGAUGGAUGGAUGG